rnacentral:tRNA from 1 species
UGGCCUGUGGCUCAGUUAGUAAAGUGUUUGCCUUGCAAGCGUAAGGGCAUGAGUUCAAUUCUCAGAAGGGCAU